UACAGAGGGUGCGAGCGUUAAUCGGAAUUACUGGGCGUAAAGCGCGCGUAGGCGGUCUUGUAAGUCGGGUGUGAAAGCCCCGGGCUCAACCUGGGAACUGCAUUCGAGACUGCAAGACUGGAGUAUGGGAGAGGGCAGCGGAAUUUCCGGUGUAGCGGUGAAAUGCGUAGAUAUCGGAAGGAACAUCAGUGGCGAAAGCGGCUGCCUGGCCCAAUACUGACGCUCAUGUGCGAAAGCGUGGGGAGCAAACAGG
rnacentral:rRNA from 1 species